UAAAAAGCUGGUGCAACAGCAAACAGACUGCUUCUGCUCUGCCUCCUGCUUUCCUGUGGUCUCAAUGACAGAAACCUGCUCCUUCAGUGGCAUCAGGCUACGGGCAUGUGUUCCCCAUCUGCAUCAGCUUGGGAUCGGUUGAGUUCAUCUCCUCCAGCUGUGGCAACAUAUUUUCCAGUGAGAGAAUGGAACAGAGUCAACUAAAUCCUUGUAAAAGGAACGAAGAACAACCCUGCUGUCCAAAGGCUGCAACUUCUAUUCCUCAAGUUGUGGGAGCUUGAAAAAUGCGUUUGAUUCAACGUCAUUGGGCCAGACAGCAGGUCUGUACCCUCUGUGGCUUUAAUGAGGUUCAAGAGGACCAGGCAGACAGCAGUGGUGUUCUCCACCUGAAUCCUCUCUACAUCAUUUGCCAUAUCUGCAUUUGUGAGAAUCCUGCAUCCAUGAGAGCUCUCCAUCUCGAGAUGUUUGAAAGGCUUUUGCUUUUAAAGGGCAAGCAACACCUUUCGGCGGCCUUUCCAGAUGCAUUAAAAUACAUGGGAAUUUCCAAACGCAGUGGGAGGAGAGGUUUCCCCAUCAACGGUGCGGAGCGUCUAGAAGAGCUAGCUUUUGUGGAGGAUGAUGGUCACCUGCAGAGGCUUUUCAGAGCCUAAUUUUAAGAGCAUUUUAAAGAAAUCUCUCCUUCGCUUACAAAGAGAGACUACCCAGUGUUACAGGCUGAGAGGAAACACCUUGGGGACAGUGUGCCAGCAGCCCUGUUUUUACCAAGUGUGUGGCAUCAGUACAACAGC